AAAAUGCCUGCAAAUGAUGUCUAAUAAAUGCUAGAUGUUGCUCUUAUUCACUGUGGGGAAGAAGAGCCCUAGACCUGGGGGUGCUCACUUCUCAGAAGGAGUUUGGAAAUUGGGCCAGGGAUGAUGGGUAUAAUUACAGAAAGGAAUUAACCUUGGGGUCAGGAAGCUAGGGGUAGAGAUAGAAAAGGGGACAGAAGUUGUUCCAGUUGUGAAGCAAGUAGGAGCCUAUCCGACCCUCUGACAUGGAAUCACAGACAUUUGCUCUUCACAAAGCAGGUUUCAAUAUACACUAAUCACCUCUGCUAAGCCUCUUUGGG
rnacentral:lncRNA from 1 species